UGCGUAGGGGUUCUGAGAGGAAGGUCCCCCGCACUGGAACUGAGACACGGUCCAGACUCCUACGGGAGGCAGCAGUGAGGAAUAUUGGUCAAUGGGCGCAAGCCUGAACCAGCCAAGUCGCGUGAGGGAAGACGGCCCUACGGGUUGUAAACCUCUUUUGCCGGGGAGCAAGCCUGAGCACGUGUGCCCAGGCGGAGAAUACCCGGAGAAAAAGCAUCGGCUAACUCCGUGCCAGCAGCCGCGGUAAUACGGAGGAUGCGAGCGUUAUCCGGAUUUAUUGGGUUUAAAGGGUGCGCAGGCGGGCUGUUAAGCCGGCGGUAAAAAUUCAGGGCUCAACCCUGUCGAGCCGUCGGAA
rnacentral:rRNA from 1 species